rnacentral:misc_RNA from 1 species
GAAGAGAAAAUGCAUAAACGAAGAGAGCUUAGUACUUCCAGUAGUAUUGCUGGUCCAAGUGAGAUUGAGUAUUGCUCGACAGCAGCACCAUCUUUUGCUUCUGCUGUAGAAGGUGGAGAAGUUGUUACUUCUCAAGAGACAUGUACAGCUCCAACAACUAGACAACCUCAACGCACGAGACAGAAUAGGGAGGACGAUUUUGACUUGGAUCUUGAGGAUAUCAUGGUUAUGGAAGCCAUAUGGUUAUCCAUUCAGGAGAAUGGCAGAAAUCGAAGUAUGGACUAUAGUGAUGUUGGUCCAUCAGAACAAUAUACAGAAGAAGAUCAUCGAUGUGUCCCAGCAGUCAAUCCCACAGCUUCUGGCUCAUCUUCGUCUCCUUCUGGUGGUCUUGCUUGUGCAAUUGCAGCCCUGGCUGAGCGCCAGCAAAUGAGUGGAGAGUCCAGUAGCUACAGUCGGAACAUGUCAUCAUCGUACAAUGAGCAUCCUUCAUGUGAUAGGUUUUCCAAUGGGGAGGAGCUAGAGAAUGAUGAUUACCCUCAUGCUGAGGGCACCAUGCACGUGUCACCUGAAAGCCAUCUGGAAAUACCAAGGGAGGACGGUGAAUGGGCUGAUCAUGGUUCCAUGGUAGCCGAAGUUGGAACUAGUUAUGCAGUCUCUGACGAAAUGGAAGAUGAUGCUUCAUUCCCUCUGCAGGGUGAAAUGGUAAGCGAUCUUCAACCCAACACUAGUUCAAUAGUUCCCGAGAAUUUUGAAGAGCAGAUGAUGUUAGCUAUGGCUGUUUCACUGGCUGAGGCAAGUGCACGGUCUAGUCCACCCGGGGUGGCCUGGCACUAGUAGUGCUAUCGAUGUGGGUUAUGAGGAUUCCACUUGUGUUGCAUUGCCACUCAACCCAAAAAGAAAAAGUAAAAAAAGAAAAUGCUUCUACUUUUUUUCCCUUCCUUUCUCCUCUACCUUUUUCCAUCUCACUUUUCCUACUUUUCAUCCCUUUCGUAUCUCGAUAUACUGUUGUACGAAAACAAAGAAAUUGAUUCUAGUGAAUGAAAUGUUGCUUGAGCCCUGCAUAUAACAAGUUUUG